rnacentral:lncRNA from 1 species
AUAAAUGUAUGAUCUGUGAAACAGGGGGGUGUAUCUUGGCCCGUGGCAGCUACCCUGCGAAACCCUGCCUUCCCCGGUAUUUCGGGGCCACUCAUCCAGUCACCCUAGUCAACUUCUCAGUGGAUCGCUCAGGUUCCGCACCCACCACCAGCAUCCAACGGAAUCUGCCGGGUCGACAGCGGCCCAACUCCAUUCCUAGUCGGCUCGCAGGUUAAUUUUAUCCCAGGUCACCACCGUCCAUCAACUAGGGGCGCAAUGCCUUCCAUCAUCGGAAGGACUUUUGACCCUACCGAGUAUCGAUCCCGGGAUCUCUCGGGGGCAAUGGUCGCGCAUUACCAG